rnacentral:misc_RNA from 1 species
UGGUUCUAGCAUCGAUGAAGAACGCAGCGAAAUGCAAUAAGUAAUAUAAAUUACAUAAUUCAGUGAAUCAUUGAAUCUUUGAAUGCACAUUGUGCUCUCUAGCAUUCUAAGGGGUAUGCCUAUUUGAGCGUCAUUACAACCCUCAAGCUCUGCUUGGUAUUAGGCGUCACCUCUGCGGCGCGCCUCAAAAUUAGUGGCGGUGCCGUCGGGCUUCAGGCGUAGUAGAACUCUCUCGCCAUAGAGCCCGCUGGCGUGCUGGCUAAAACAUCUUACACCAGUUGACCUUAGAUUAGAUAGAGAUACCCGCUAA